rnacentral:rRNA from 1 species
UACGGGGGGGGCAAGCGUUGUUCGGAUUUACUGGGCGUAAAGGGCGCGUAGGCGGCGUGACAAGUCACUUGUGAAAUCUCCGGGCUUAACCCGGAGCGGCCAAGUGAUACUGUCGUGCUAGAGUGCGGAAGGGGCUACUGGAAUUCUCGGUGUAGCGGUGAAAUGCGUAGAUAUCGAGAGGAACACCUGCGGCGAAGGCGGGUAGCUGGGCCGACACUGACGCUGAUGCGCGAAAGCCAGGGGAGCGAACGGG